AUUGAACGCUGGCGGCAUGCUUUACACAUGCAAGUCGAACGAGUGGCGUACGGGUGAGUAAUGUCUCGGAACCUUCCUGAUGGCGGGGGAUAACUACUGGAAACGGUAGCUAAUACCGCCUACUAUUGGAUCUGCCCAUAUGGGAUUAGCUAGUAGGGGGGGUAAAGGCUCACCAAGGCGACGAUCCCUAGCUGGUCUGAGAGGAUGACCAGCCACACUGGGACUGAGACACGGUCCAGACUCCUACGGGAGGCAGCAGUGGGGAAUAUUGGACAAUGGGCGAAAGCCUGAUGCAGCCAUGCCGAGUGUAUGAAGAAGGCCUUCGGGUUGUAAAGUACUUUCGGCGGAGAAGCGUUAGCCGCAGAAGAAGCACCGGCUAACUACGUGCCAGCCGCCGCGGUAAUAC
rnacentral:rRNA from 1 species